rnacentral:misc_RNA from 1 species
GAUGAAGAACGUAGCGAAAUGCGAUACGUAAUGUGAAUUGCAGAAUUCAGUGAAUCAUCGAAUCUUUGAACGCAUAUUGCGCUCUCUGGUAUUCCGGAGAGCAUGCUUGUUUGAGUAUCAGUAAACACCUCAACUUCCAUAUCUUUUUUGAAAUGGGAGUUGGACUUGAGUGAUCCCAACGCUUUUCCUCACCGAAAAGUGGCGGGUUACUUGAAAUGCAGGUGCAGCUGGACUUUUCUCUGAGCUAUAAGCAUAUUUAUUUAGUCUGCCUAAAAACAGAUUAUUACCUUUGCUGCAGCUAACAUAAAGGAGAUUAGUUCUUGUGCUGACUGAUGCAGGAUUCACAAAGACAGGCUUCGGCCGACUUUGUAAACUCGAUCUCAAAUCAAGUAAGACUACCCGCUGAACUUAAGCAUAUCAAUAAGCGGAGGA